rnacentral:rRNA from 1 species
CGUGAGCAAUCUGCCUUGGAGUGGGGAAUAACGGCUGGAAACAGCCGCUAAUACCGCAUGAAGCAGCUGGGAGGCAUCUCCCUGGCUGCCAAAGAUUUAUCGCUCUGAGAUGAGCUCGCGUCUGAUUAGCUGGUUGGCGGGGUAACGGCCCACCAAGGCGACGAUCAGUAGCCGGACUGAGAGGUUGGCCGGCCACAUUGGGACUGAGACACGGCCCAGACUCCUACGGGAGGCAGCAG